UCCCUGGUGGUCCAGUGGUUAAGACUCUGGGCUUCCAAUGCAGGGGUCGCAGGUUUGAUCCCUGAUCAGGAAA
rfam:TPA: Bos taurus chromosome 5, whole genome shotgun sequence.